GAUAUAUAUGCGAGGAGUUGUGCUGGUAAUGAAUAUAUGCAUGUGCACACUCUGGAGCUUAUAAUAUAUACACCUGUGAACCAACUGUAGUCAGGAGAAAUCCUAACUAUGAUUACCCUAUAUAACUCUUAUUGGAUGUUACAUAGAACGAUCUCAUAUUGAAACUUUGUUUUCUGACAAGUUUCUCUUAAUUAAAAAUAUACAACUUUCAACAACGGAUCUCUUGUCUCUUGCUUCGAUGAAGAACGCCGCGAAAUGCGAUAAGUAAUGUGAAUUGCAGAAUCCAGUGAAUCAUCGAAUCUUUGAACGCCCCUUGCGCCCUUUGGUAUUCCGAGGGGCAUGCCUGUUUGAGAGUCAUUAAAUUCUCCACCUUACAAAUUUUUGUAUUUGUCGAGGCUUGUAUGUGAGAAGUGCUGGUUAAAAAAAAUUCUGAGUGGCUCUCUUUAAAAAUAUAAGAAGGACGUGUAAAAAUGCCCACGGGUGGUGUGAUAAUAUGUCCACCCCUACACCAGGAGGGGGAUUCUAUCUUGUGUGCACUUCUUAUAAAAUCAUGCGCAUAUAUCUAGCAUAUAAGGGCAUAUUUUGACCAUUUCACCUC
rnacentral:misc_RNA from 1 species